CAGAGGAAGAGUUAGACGCUGGGGAGAUAAAGCUAAAUGGAAAGCUAAAUGAUACAACCCGGACAGAGCGUGUGAUUAAAGUUUUUGAAGAGUUAAUAGGCCUGCACAACGACGUAUGCUCGACCACUUCUCUUCAAAGACUGAACUCAAAACUGAAACCAGCAAAAUGCAACAAAAUGGAAAGGAGUGAAGCAUACAAGCAUAUUGAAGAGUCAAAUUGCAUGCUGAGUACAACAAAUUCCUACACGUUGGCAGAUCUGCACUAAUAUUGAAAGUCUGUUGGACCACCUCGACUCAUACGACGGCUUCGAAUGUUCAGUCCAACUCCUUUCAAACUCAUGGAUCGGAGCGUCAGGAUGAGAUAAAAGAUGGGCUCGUAGCAGCUCUUCUGAACCGACGUCUUCCCCUGGCAACACAUGAAAUCACCACCUGGUGUUAAGGCCGGCCAGAACUGGGCUCCAUCUUGAUGUCAGGUUUGGACCUUGGGUAUCAACGACGCAGCGAUUCAGUGGCUGGGCUGAAUUGAACGUGCGCAAAUAUUCCUGAGAGUCCUGACCGUUUGUUGGACACGUUGGUGGUGACGGCGGUGACCGAGGCCAGCGAGACAGCGUCCAUCUCCAAGCGUCCUCCCAUGAACAUGGCCUGGCGAUCCAGGUUCUGUGCCUCCAAAACAGCGGGCUCAUCUGAUCAACAACAACAACGUUUAACGGCUAACGGGCUGAUACACCUUGCAUAGGGCUUCAUUCGUAAUGACUUGGAGUACAUGAAAAAGCGGAAGGGAAAAUAAAGCUCUCUUUGACCACGUGGUGGUUUAUCAACAAGUCUACUGCACAACA